rnacentral:rRNA from 1 species
AGAGUUUGAUCCUGGCUCAGGAUGAACGCUGGCGGCGUGCCUAAUACAUGCAAGUCGAACGCACCGCUUCGGUGGUGAGUGGCGAACGGGUGAGUAAUACAUAAGUAACCUGGCCUUUCGAGGGGGAUAACUAUUGGAAACGAUAGCUAAGACCGCAUAGGCAUAAUUCUCGCAUGAGAGUUAUGUUAAAUAUCCUAUGGGAUAGCGAGAGGAUGGACUUAUGGCGCAUUAGCUAGUUGGUGAGGGUAACGGCCCACCAAGGCGACGAUGCGUAGCCGACCUGAGAGGGUGACCGGCCACACUGGGACUGAGACACGGCCCAGACUCCUACGGGAGGCAGCAGUAGGGAAUUUUCGGCAAUGGGCGAAAGCCUGACCGAGCAACGCCGCGUGAGGGAGGAAGUAUUUCGGUAUGUAAACCUCUGUUAUAAAGGAAGAACGGCGCAUGUAGGGAAUGACAUGCGAGUGACGGUACUUUAUGAGAAAGCCACGGCUAACUACGUGCCAGCAGCCGCGGUAAUACGUAGGUGGCGAGCGUUAUCCGGAAUCAUUGGGCGUAAAGAGGGAGCAGGCGGCAACUAGGGUCUGCGGUAAAAGACCGAAGCUAAACUUCGGUAAGCCGUGGAAACCGAGGAGCUAGAGUGCAGUAGAGGAUCGUGGAAUUCCAUGUGUAGCGGUGAAAUGCGUAGAUAUAUGGAGGAACACCAGUGGCGAAGGCGACGAUCUGGGCUGCAACUGACGCUCAGUCCCGAAAGCGUGGGGAGCAAAUAGGAUUAGAUACCCUAGUAGUCCACGCCGUAA